GACGAACCGUGCAAACGUUAUUCGGAAUCACUGGGCUUAAAGCGUGCGUAGGCGGCUGAGAAAGUUGGGUGUGAAAUCCCUCGGCUCAACCGAGGAAUUGCGCUCAAAACUACUUGGCUUGAGGGAGUUAGAGGUGAGCGGAACUAAUGGUGGAGCGGUGAAAUGCGUUGAUAUCAUUAGGAACACCGGUGGCGAAAGCGGCUCACUGGGACUCUUCUGACGCUGAGGCACGAAAGCUAGGGGAGCGAACAGG
rnacentral:rRNA from 1 species